CGACGGCAUCACAGAACCGAACCCCGUUCGUGCGACGGCAUCACAGAACAGAACUCCGUCCGUGCGACGGCAUCACAGAACCCCGGUCGCACACGGCCAGAAUCCGUCCAUGCGACGGUCGGCCGCACGCAGGCAGACAGCCCAGGUGGCGGCCAUGCGUGAGUUGGCCGUGCACACGCGGCGGCCGCGUGCUGGCAGCAGCCAACCGCGGGCAGGAACCGCCGCAGCGGCAGUGGCCGCGCAUGAGCAGUAUGCCCCGCGGCGGCAGCGCCGUGGCGGCAGUGGCCGUGCGCAGGCUAGAUCUACCGCUGGCAGCCGCGCACAGGCGGUCGCUGGCAGCCGCGCA
rnacentral:lncRNA from 1 species